rnacentral:rRNA from 1 species
UACAGAGGGUGCAAGCGUUAAUCGGAAUUACUGGGCGUAAAGCGUGCGCAGACGGUUAUGUAAGUCGGGUGUGAAAGCCCCGGGCUCAACCUGGGAAUUGCAUUCGAGACUGUGUAGCUAGGGUGCGGAAGAGGGAAGCGGAAUUUCCGGUGUAGCAGUGAAAUGCGUAGAGAUGUGGAGGAACACCGAUGGCGAAGGCAGCCUCCUGGGCCAGCACUGACGCUCAUGCACGAAAGCGUGGGGAGCAAACAGG